AGGGAUGUAGCUUAAUUGGUAAAGCAGCUGACUGUUAAUCAGUGUAUCGUGGGGGUUCGAGUCCCUCUUUCCCUGCCA
rnacentral:tRNA from 1 species